UAAUACGAAGGGGGCUAGCGUUGCUCGGAAUUACUGGGCGUAAAGCGCACGUAGGCGGCGAUUCAAGUUAGAUGUGAAAGGCCUGGGCUCAACCCGGGAACUGCAUUUGAUACUGAAUUGCUAGAGUCCAAGAGAGGGUAGUGGAAUUCCCAGUGUAGAGGUGAAAUUCGUAGAUAUUGGGAAGAACACCAGUGGCGAAGGCGGCUACCUGGCUUGGUACUGACGCUCAGGUGCGAAAGCGUGGGGAGCGAACAGGAUUAGAUACCCUGGUAGUCCACGCCGUAAACGAUGGGUGCUAGAUGUCGGGCAGCAUGCUGUUCGGUGUCGUAGCUAACGCGUUAAGCACCCCGCCUGGGGAGUACGGCCGCAAGGUUA
rnacentral:rRNA from 1 species